rnacentral:rRNA from 1 species
GGAGUACGGCCGCAAGGUUAAAACUCAAAUGAAUUGACGGGGGCCCGCACAAGCGGUGGAGCAUGUGGUUUAAUUCGAUGCAACGCGAAGAACCUUACCUGGUCUUGACAUCCACAGAACUUUCCAGAGAUGGAUUGGUGCCUUCGGGAACUGUGAGACAGGUGCUGCAUGGCUGUCGUCAGCUCGUGUUGUGAAAUGUUGGGUUAAGUCCCGCAACGAGCGCAACCCUUAUCCUUUGUUGCCAGCGGU